UCCAGACUCCUACGGGAGGCAGCAGUGAGGAAUAUUGGUCAAUGGGCGCGAGCCUGAACCAGCCAAGUCGCGUGAGGGAAGACGGUCCUAUGGAUUGUAAACCUCUUUUGUCGGGGAGCAAAAGACGCCACGCGUGGCGUUCCGAGAGUACCCGAAGAAAAAGCAUCGGCUAACUCCGUGCCAGCAGCCGCGGUAAUACGGAGGAUGCGAGCGUUAUCCGGAUUUAUUGGGUUUAAAGGGUGCGUAGGUGGUUAAUUAAGUCAGCGGUGAAAGUUUGUGGCUCAACCAUAAAAUUGCCGUUGAAACUGGUUGACUUGAGUAUAUUUGAGGUAGGCGGAAUGCGUGGUGUAGCGGUGAAAUGCAUAGAUAUCACGCAGAACUCCGAUUGCGAAGGCAGCUUACUAAACUAUAACUGACACUGAAGCACGAAAGCGUGGGGAUCAAACAGGAUUAGAUACCCUGGUAGGU
rnacentral:rRNA from 1 species